rnacentral:rRNA from 1 species
CCGGCUAACUACGUGCCAGCAGCCGCGGUAAUACGUAGGGUGCGAGCGUUAAUCGGAAUUACUGGGCGUAAAGCGUGCGCAGGCGGUUUUGUAAGUCAGAUGUGAAAUCCCCGAGCUCAACUUGGGAACUGCGUUUGAAACUACAAGACUAGAAUAUGUCAGAGGGGGGUAGAAUUCCACGUGUAGCAGUGAAAUGCGUAGAGAUGUGGAGGAAUACCAAUGGCGAAGGCAGCCCCCUGGGAUAAUAUUGACGCUCAUGCACGAAAGCGUGGGGAGCAAACAGGAUUAGAUACCCUGGUAGUCCACGCCCUAAACGAUGUCAACUGGUUGUUGGGUCUUCAUUGACUUAGUAACGAAGCUAACGCGUGAAGUUGACCGCCUGGGGAGUACGGUCGCAAGAUUAAAACUCAAAGGAAUUGACGGGGACCCGCACAAGCGGUGGAGGAUGUGGAUUAAUUCGAUGCAACGCGAAAAACCUUACCUACCCUUGACAUGUAACGAACUUUCCAGAGAUGGAUUGGUGCUCGAAAGAGAACGUUAACACAGGUGCUGCAUGGCUGUCGUCAGCUCGUGUCGUGAGAUGUUGGGUUAAGUCCCGCAACGAGCGCAACCCUUGCCAAUAAUUGCCAUCAUUUAGUUGGGCACUUUAUUGGGACUGCCGAUGACAAAUCGGAGGAAGGUGGGGAUGACGUCAAGUCCUCAUGGCCCUUAUGGCCAGGGCUUCACACGUAAUACAAUGGUCGGUACAGAGGGUUGCCAACCCGCAAGGGGGAGCCAAUCCCAGAAAGCCGAUCGUAGUCCGGAUUGAGGUCUGCAACUCGACCUCAUGAAGUCGGAAUCGCUAGUAAUCGCGGAUCAGCAUGUCGCGGUGAAUACGUUCCCGGGCCUUGUACACACCGCCCGUCACACCAUGGGAGUGGGUUUUACCAGAAGUAGGUAGUCUAACCGCAAGGGGGACGCUUACCACGGUAGUAUUCAUGACUGGGGUGAAGUCGUAACAAGGUAGCCGUAUCGGAAGGUGCGGCUG